UACGAAGGGGGCUAGCGUUGCUCGGAAUCACUGGGCGUAAAGCGCACGUAGGCGGCUUGCUAAGUCAGGGGUGAAAUCCUGGAGCUCAACUCCAGAACUGCCUUUGAUACUGGCGAUCUCGAGUCCGGGAGAGGUGAGUGGAACUGCGAGUGUAGAGGUGAAAUUCGUAGAUAUUCGCAAGAACACCAGUGGCGAAGGCGGCUCACUGGCCCGGUACUGACGCUGAGGUGCGAAAGCGUGGGGAGCAAACAGG
rnacentral:rRNA from 1 species